CUGGAGUUCCCCUGAUCACUUCACUGGGGUGGGCUACAGUUUCCAGGAAACCCUACUGAAGUGUUUGGGGGAACUC
rnacentral:sRNA from 1 species